rnacentral:lncRNA from 1 species
AGGCUAAAAUAAUUCGUACGAAAACUAAAAGAAUUGAUACAAUCAGAGUUGAGGCUAAAAUAAUUCGUACGAAAACAAAAAUAAUUCAUACGUAAACCAAAAAUAAUUCGUACGUAAACCAAAAAUAAUUCACGUCUCAUCAGCCCCAGUAGAACGCCGCGCAGAGCGCGGCCUGGUCUCUAAGCCGCUUUCAGCAGCGCCGCUACACUCUGCCCACCACUCCAAUUCAGUCGGACGCCAACAACGCCACCUUGCAUCUGCCGCGCCGUCCGGAUGUGAUUUAGAACCACCUCGCCACUCUCCACCAGGACGUGCGACAACAGCCGUCUUCCACCAGCGCCGAUUGCCAGACCCACUACACCGGGAGUUUUGGAACUGUUCAAUUCAGGAAGAGAGAGACGGGUGGUGUUAGAAGGAGAUAGGUUUGUGAGGGAGAUAGGACGAAGCGGCGGCGACGGGUUUCUUUCAGUUUAGGGAUUUUCCUUAAUUUGGGGUUCCGGAAGAUAAGUGAGGGUGCAAGCGGUGGCGGUGACUGGAGAAGCGUCACCGGAUUUUGGCAAAGAAGGGUGGGGCGGCGUCACUUUGUGUGUGUGAGUGUGCGUCUUCUGUGAGAUAACAGAGAGAAAGAGAGAGAUGAGAUGUAUUUGAUGAGAGAGAGAGAGAGAGAGAUUAAAUUGCAAUACCCAAAAAUUGUGCAAUAUUUUUGGAAUCGG